rnacentral:lncRNA from 1 species
UAGGGGGAGCACUGCUAUGUGUGCAGCAUAACAGAAGGGUGUUUUUUGGCUGAUUUGUAGUGGAAGACUGCGGCGUGUAGCUACCGAAGCCUGAUAUAAAUGCACUCUGUGCUGCCAGCGCUAAGAACGCUUUGGCGUGAUGACGCCGGCCCGCCUGCUCUGCAUGCUACAGCAGUUGGGAUCCAAGAUGAAAGCCCGAUCGUGUGGAUGCACAAGAAAGCUUUCACAUAAGAGAAGAGACCUCCUGGUAUCAGCCAGGAUGUGAGAAGCCACAAUCCCAGCACAACUGCAAGAACAGUAGAAGACUUUGAUCAAUCCGAAUGAAGCUGAAAAGCAGAAAGUUUUAUAAAAUGGAUUAAAAUUAGAGAAGGAGUCUGGUUAGCUAUCAGGGAUUCCAAGAACCUAUAAGAACAGGUUUGCAUCGAAGUCACAUCGGGUCUGUGAGCCUCCUGCUUUCAGAACUAAUUUCAGAACGUAUGAAUGAGUCUGAACUAUGGGAGGUCACCAGGAAAGGCAGCCCUGAGCUCCUAGCAAGGCCGUCUUGUUGGGUUCAGGAGAAAACACAGCUCCAAGCAGGUUGGUUUAUCUUGCCUCUUUAGUGGAUUUUCCAGUCUGGAGUGAGCUUCUUGCUACUGGAGAAGUCAACAACGUUUUACAAGACAACUAUGUGUGCCUUGAAUGCAAGAAGGGCAUGCCAUUGGCUCCUGUUUGAAUAAACACUCAUUAGGUGUUCA